rnacentral:rRNA from 1 species
UACGUAGGGUGCGAGCGUUUAAUCGGAAUUACUGGGCGUACAGCGCGCGCAGGCGGAACUGGACGUGCCGUGUGACAAGCCACCGCUCACCGGUGGAGGGCCACGGUACACGACAGCUCUGGAGGCAGGGAGAGGGAUGUGGAAUGCCCGGUGGAGCGGUAGAAAUGCGUAGAGAGUCGGGCGGAACACCAGCGGCGAAGGCGGCAUCCUGGCCCUGACCUGACGCGUGGAGGCGCGGAGAGCGUGGGGAGCAAACAGG